ACAGCUCAUCCUGGGAUUUUCAGCCAGAAAGACAGAGCUAAAUGGGAUGCAUGGAAGGCUGUUGAAGGAAAAUCCAAGGAUGAAGCAAUGAGUGAUUACAUCACUAAGGUGAAACAGCUGCUCGAAGAAGCUGGUCUUUCUGCUUAACAACAUUGUCAUGUCUAGCUUUCUAGUUCUAUGCUAAAAGUUUCUAUGUAUUUUGAAAAUAAAACAGUUGCAGUGUUUGAUGUUUGAUCUAAAACUUUUAAUAUAUAAUCUUAAUUGUUCUGUAUUGAA